rnacentral:rRNA from 1 species
CAGGCCUAACACAUGCAAGUCGAGCGAGAAAGGGGAACCCCGGUAAAGCUGCGCACGGGUGAGUAACACGUAGGUAAUUUACCCCUUGGUGGUGGAUAACCUUCCGAAAGGAGGGCUAAUACAGCAUAAGACCACGUCUUCGCAAGGAGAUGAGGUCAAAGCCGGCCUCUUCAUGAAAGCUGGCGCCGAGGGAUGAGCCUGCGGCCCAUCACGGUAGUUGGUAGGGUAAUGGCCUACCAAGCCUAAGACGGGUAGCUGGUCUGAGAGGAUUGGCCCCCACAUGGGUACUGAGAUACGGACCCAACUCCUACGGGAGGCAGCAGUAGGGAAUAUUGGGCAAUGGGCGAGAGCCUGACCCAGCCAUGCCGCGUGCCGGAUGAAGGCGCUCAGCGUUGUAAACGGCUUUUGACUGGGAAGAACGGCAGGCUUGCGGGCUUGUGUGACGGUACCAGCAGAAUAAGCACCGGCUAACUCCGUGCCAGCAGCCGCGGUAAU